AAGAUGCACAGGGCAUGGCCGUCUGGCAACAGGCGGAGGAAAGUCCGGACUGCAUGGGACAGCGUACUGGCUAAUAUACCAGGCGGGGCGACCCGACGAUUAGAGCAACAGUGACGUAAACGAUUAAAUUCGAGUGAAACGGGCAAUCUCUGCGCGCAGCAACCUCAAAUAGGCCCCCAAUGUGUGUCCCAAACAGGGGGCGGGUAGAGGGCUUGACAUAUCGCAGUAAUGCAAUAUGCAGAUUAAUCAUGCCCACUACCGCGGCGUGGUAUGCGAAACAUACUGGGCCGCGGCAGGACAGAAUCCGGCUUAUAUGUUCAUCUGCGGC
rnacentral:RNase_P_RNA from 1 species